rnacentral:lncRNA from 1 species
CUUCAGAGCAAAUGAGCUGAGAGGGAUUAAGAGAGAGAGAGCCGGCAGGAGCAAAGAGGAGGCUGCAGUGCCUUUUGUGACCUCACCUUAGCAGUCACACUCCUCCAUUUCUGCAGUGUCCUGCUGGCUACCCUCUUCAGUGUGGGCAGGUCCUACACGAAGGUGUGAACACCAGGUGGAGAUUGGUGGGAGCCAUCUUGGACGCUGACUUAUGGCUACCACAAGCAUCAUCUUUAUUUUACAGGUUGAAUAAACGUGAUACCAGGUGGAAGCUCAGAUCUACACGAGGAAUGAAGAAUGCCGGAAAUCAUAAAUAUGCCUAAGUGGGUCAGAUCCCAGCUCUGCGUUCAAACCACAGCCCAGCCACUUAUUAGCAGUGUGAUUUUGAGCACUUGAUUAAAUGUCUCUAAGCCUCAGUUUUUUCUCAUAAAAUGAGAAUAAUAGGAUGCCUACCUCCUUCAGUCCCUGAGACUAUCGCAGAAGAUAUUGUAUGGAGCAGGACUGUUUCCCUCGGUUUGGGCAUCUCCUUCCGGCAGGCUUGCCUGAAGAGGCACCAAGUCAGCCUCCAGCAGCGCCAAGCUCAUAGCCCACUCGUACAGUAGAGCCAAAGAAAGGCAAUUUCUCUUUCCCAAUAGUUUCAGCGACUAUUCACGCUGCUUGGCCGCUUUGGGUCACACGCCCAUCUCUGCACCAACCCCUGACUCUGAUUGGCCAGGCCUGCCUUGUAUACCCUCCUUGGAUCACAGGGGUGGAAGAAAGAUGGUUUCCUAAAGGUAAACUGGAUGCUGUACUGUCAUAGAUGCUGAACUGCCAGAACCCAUGGACAUUUAGGACUCGAGUAAAUCACAGGACAAUAAGAGCAACCAAGUACGGCCUCGUCCAAGUACAGCUUUGCAGGUUUUCUGCCCUCUUUUCUGGAAGGUGCACAAUGCUCGGCUCUGUGGUUAUUUUCGCCUAACAGCUGUGUUUCCGGUGAGCAGCUGGGAGAUGCUUCUGACUCAGCAGAACUGGAGCAGUAACCGUCAAGAAGCCGCUCAAGCGAGGCUAGAAAUCAAGAAGCAGUUUCCCCCUCAGUCCCCGUCCUUUCACUUCCCCACCCGUGGGCACCUUUUGAAAGUCUCACAGAGCACUUCUGAAAAACCGCUUGGACCCGCGUGCUCGAGGCCUGGCUGGAGGUGGGCCCGCAGCUAGGCUUUCCGAAAACAGAUGGAUUCCGGAAAGGACUGUGCCAAACCCACCGGCUUUGUUUGGAAGGCCCCUCCCAGGAGGCCCCCCCUUCCCCGCGCGGCUUGUAUCUUACAAGUUUCCCACAGGUCUGAGCAGUGAAAGCAGAGGCGGUCGGGACUUCUGUGGUUUUCCAGGGUGGGGCCCAUGUUGCCUUCCCCAGGCUGGGGUGGCUUAGGUUCUGCAGCUCGCCUGUUUUUCAGAGGUGAUGAUUUCGCCCUGGGUCUGGGAGGCGGCUCCAAAUUUCUACCCACUGGCCCUGGAUUCCAGCCCUGACCUCGAGGGGGGCGCUAGAAGUCCUGCCCGCAGCGGGAAGGGAGCAAACCAGAGAGGACCUGGCGUCCUGGAGAGCUGGCCUCUGUGCAUGCUGGUGCCUGCAAAGGGCUCACGGGAGAGGGAGACAGCUGCACCCGGAGCGCCUUGCUGCUGUUCCGAGAAAGAAAGGAACAAAUAAAUUUAGCUCCAACCUACGCAUCCUUCACAGCUGCUUAUUGACCAAACAGAAAGGGGCCUCUCUUUCAACCCUGGCUUCUCAGCUCUGUGCCCAAGGAGGUCUGCCACGGCCCGCACAAGGGGCUUUUCUGGGAGGUAACCGACCCCGGCCACCUUUAGCUCUGGGCUGGGCGUUGCACAAGAGCUCAGGUUCAAGGUGCGUGGUGCUUUUGGCCAUCCUGAAACAAAAUGGUGGCCGGGAAGCGUUUCCACCCGGGCCUUGCUCAGCUCCUGGAACUUCUCAUGCGCGUCUUUGGGAGGCAGAGCAUGGGGCAGGCUUGAGGGAUGUGUGGCUGCUCCAAGGCCAGCCGAUAGCUCCCUGAGCCAUUAGUUUAAUAGCACCAUUCGUGGGAAUAAAGAACUCGCUGACGGGGGUCCGCAAGUUAAGAGACUGGAACGAAGUGCUGAAGAGGUUUCAGGCAGCUCGCCAGUGUGGAGGGGCUCCUGUGGGACAGGGAGGGCCGGCCCUGUGCUUCCAGUCACCGGAGUCUGGCUCAAGUCCUAGCUCCACCGCCUAAGGGCAGGGUGCCUCUGGGCAGGGAGAGCUGGCUCCUCACCUGGAAGUGAGAUGCUGGCCGUGACACUGGGCCCUUCUGAGCCUUGGCUCCUUACCUGGGAAGCAGAGAUAGUGUUCUAAGCUUGUCAUGAGGAUUAAAGGACAUCGUGUCCCGAGCAUGCCUGGCCCAGUUCUUGGUGUGCCAGGAGGGCCUGUGGUAACUGUUUCACCUGCCCGGGCCUGUUGUCUUCCCUUCUGGCCACGGCGUCCCACUGUCUCUCCUCCUGCUCUUCUCCAUAAGAUUUGGGGAUCACCUUACUCUCAAACUCUGAAGAUGAGCACGUAGCCCAGGCCAAAUCAUGGACAGUCCCACACACCCCUGGCCAUAGUGAUUAGUUUCUGGAUGUGCAUGGGACCCAAGCUGGGACAAUCAGAGCCAACUUUAGGAAUGUUAUUGGAACUAUUAGGACAGAGAAAAUCUUUCUUCUGGGUUUCUAAGAGGUCAAGGUUUAAAUGUGGUGCUGCUGGUGGCUGUCUUUGUAUAAAGGAGGGAAGAAUCUGCCAACAGGAGAAGGAAGCCAACAGAGAGAAAAACAAACAUGAGGUGACUGUGUCCUGACCAUUUGACCCCUUGAUCCAGCCAUACCUGAACCCAUCACUCCUUAAACUUCCCAGUUAUCUGAG